GACGAACGCUGGCGGCGUGCCUAAUACAUGCCAGUUGAGCGCUGAAGGUUGGUACUUGUACCGACUGGAUGAGCAGCGAACGGGUGAGUAACGCGUGGGGAAUCUGCCUUUGAGCGGGGGACAACAUUUGGAAACGAAUGCUAAUACCGCAUAAAAACUUUAAACACAAGUUUUAAGUUUGAAAGAUGCAAUUGCAUCACUCAAAGAUGAUCCCGCGUUGUAUUAGCUAGUUGGUGAGGUAAAGGCUCACCAAGGCGAUGAUACAUAGCCGACCUGAGAGGGUGAUCGGCCACAUUGGGACUGAGACACGGCCCAAACUCCUACGGGAGGCAGCAGUAGGGAAUCUUCGGCAAUGGACGAAAGUCUGACCGAGCAACGCCGCGUGAGUGAAGAAGGUUUUCGGAUCGUAAAACUCUGUUGGUAGAGAAGAACGUUGGUGAGAGUGGAAAGCUCAUCAAGUGACGGUAACUACACAGAAAGGGACGGCUAACUACGUG
rnacentral:rRNA from 1 species